ACGACAGUCUGCUCUACAGGUCGACUUUACCAUAGACAUAAUAAAUACUUUAUUAUGUCUAUGGACUUUACUGUCACGAUUUGUAAUGCGCAUGUUCUCGAUUUAUAGAGUCGCGAUGGAGAGUGACUGAAUAUGGAUUAUUUUGUGUCGUAUGUACAAAUUCAAGAAUUUCACAGAGCGUCGGAAGGUGAAACGGGCAUCUACGAAUUUUAAUAUUAAAGGUCAGAUCUUGUCACCGCUGCCAGUUGAAUGACCCCAUCAAGAUUGUUGUGCCAGUCUUUCAUUCCAAUAAGGUAAAAGAAUCUUGGGAAGUGCUUGGUUUGGAUUUGAUUGGACCACUGCCAGAAACAGCAUGCAACAACAAGUAUGUCCUUACAUGACAGACCUGUACACCAAGUGGGUGAUUGCAGAACCCAUGCAAUAUAAGACAGCAGCUGAGAUGUCUGCAAAAAUAACCACAAAGUUGUAAUUGUUCGGCAUGGUUAGGAAAAUCAUUACAGACCAAGGGAAGGAGUUUGUCAACAAGGUGAAGUUUUGUAAAGGUUUUAUUAUGUUGUUUCCCCCUACUCUAGUCUCUACAUGUAUGUUGUUGUCUACAAUUACUCCAGUCUUGCAAAUUUAACUGAUAAUCCCUCUAAAGCUCAACAACAGCAUUUUCAGUACGGUGAAAAUCAAACAUGCUGUCUCCAGUGCUUACCAUCCCCAGACCAACGGACAGAUAACUCUUUAGAUAUCUGUUCUGUAAGAUCUUUCGUUGUCUUGUGGUUAUUCGUAAACUUUAUAAAUGCAUUGAUAUGUACAGGAUGAAAGAAACAAUCAGAAAAUCAAGCGUACUCUCAGGAAGUAUGUAAAUGACAACCAUGACUGGGACCUCCACCUUCCUGCUGUGGUGUAUGGAAUCAACACUGCAAAGCAGGUUGUGUUUUAACAUGCUUACUUAUUAUAUUUAUAAUAUCUACGGUUAGUUGUCAAUGUUAAAACUGAUUUGAUGAAUUUAUUUAAUAUGUAAUGUCAAGGGUGGAGUUUUUCCCUUCAAUACAAAUGUAAUAGUUAAUGGGAAGCUUCCUAUGUGAUCAGUACUCCACUAGACACAGUCCCUACUUCCUCCUCUUCCAUCUACACCCACGUCUGCCAGAGGUCAUGAAUACCUGUCCCAUGGGAGAUGAUUUUGAAGUUGCUGACCCGGAAGAUGACAUCGACACCAGAGUCAAUAAGAUGAAACUUCUUAAUGAAACGGUUUGUAUUUGAAUAAUAAAGGUAAAUUAAUUAGUGACAUACUAUCGGAAUUAGACCUAGGCAUAGGCUGAUGUAUUUUCUUUGCUAUGAUUCUGAUUCUCUGAGCUCUUGUUAUAGCUCUUGUUAUGUCACUGUUACACUGUUUAUUUAGAGAUGUGGAUAAUGUAAUGUUUCUGGGACUGUGUGUGUCUAUGUGUGCCCAGAGUGUCACUAUCACUUUAGCAUUAUCUAUGUCAGGAGAUAGCAUCACCAUUCAGGGAAUUCCUGUGGUGUCUACAUGAUGGUAAGAAUGUUUAAUUUGUCAAAGCUGUUCAAUAUAUGUAUAAUAACAAACCUGAUGGGAGAGGAGCAAUAGAUGUUGCAUUUGAAAUAUGGUAACUUAAAAGAGUAUUAUAUCAAAUUAAACAAACAGUGCCAGGAAAAGGUCUGGUAUGUUAUAUUAUGCUAAAAUAUGUAGACAACAUAAUACUUAAAGCAGUACUGGACUUAUAUGGACCAUAUGAUAUGGGUAGAAGGGAGGCUGCCAAGAUCAUGGAAACAUGCCAUAAUAAUUCUGAUAGCUAAGCCGGGGAAAGAUGUAUAUAUAGCUGGGAAUUAUAGACCAAUAGCACUUACAUCUAACCUACUGUAUGUAAAAUGAUGGAGAAAAUUAUUGUAAAUAGGCUGUAUUAUGUGUUGGAGAGUAAAGGUACGUACACACUGCCAGCGACAUCGCACGCGACAGCGACUCAAUACCAUUAAUUUUCAAUGCGAGCACAGCGACUUCCGGCGAUACGAGCUGUCGCGACCGUUGGCGCUAGAUGUGGGCGUGUCCAGCGACGCGACAAAGUUGAGAAAAGUUCAACUUUGGAGCGACUAACGGAAGCGACAGCCAAUAGGAGAGACGACGGGAGAGCUCACGUGAUCCUUCUCUCUUUCUCUCAGCUCCUGCAGUAACGGAAAGAUGGAUGAAAGGCUAAUUCUUGCUGUUAGAAAUGUUCCAGUGCUCUAUGAUAUGUCUCUUCCCACGUACAAGGACAUUUUAAAGAAAAAUACUGCGUGGAAAGGUGUAUCUGAGAUCGCGGGGAUUUUAUGGACCCAUACAGACCGACAUUUGCAUUUUCGCCGCAGAUAAACAGCCGCUCUGGCAAACAGCACGCCUUGUUUCUCAUUCAUCUUUGAUAUAAAGCAUUUUAUGUACUGAUUCCAUUUAUAUUUAGUCUUUUCCCUACAAAAUGUUUGUUUUUAGUGGCAAGAAAAGAGAUUCGCUGUCAACAGCAAUGGAAUGACAUCCGUGAAUGUCAUUUAUAAACGUUACUAGGCAACCAGUAGUGAGAACACCCACUAGCGACUUCACCGCCAGCCACUGGCGACCUGCAGCGAUAAAGUCGCUGGCAGUGUGUACGUAGCUUAAGAGAUUGUCAGCGCCUUAUCAAAAUGGUUUUAGAAAAGGUAGAUCAACAUUGGAUGGACUAAUAAAAUUGGAAACAGAUGUUAAGAAAGCAAUAGCAAUGAAUGAGGCAGAUUAUUUUGAUAUUGAGAAGGCAUAAGACAUGAGGUUGAAAGAAGGUUUAUUAUUAAAAUUGGAAUAGAGGGAAGAAUCUAUAAUUGGGUUUUAGGUUUUUUUAUUCUAAAGAACUAUCCAAGUUCGAGUAAUGAAUUGUCUCAAAUUGUAAGAGUGGAGAACGGAACACCUCAGGGGAGUGUGAUAAGCCCUAUAUUAUUUAAUAUUAUGAUUAAUGACAUAUUUGAAGGAGUGUCAUCAGACACCCCAAAAGAGGGAGGAGUAUAUCCUUUAAUAUGGAGAGAAUUCAAGAAGCAAUAGGAAUUGUUGAAAAUUUGUCUUUAGAAUGGGGGUUCAAAUUUUCAAUAUCCAAAACAUGUUAUCAGAUAUUUACAAAGAAGAAAAAAAUUAAAGAGAACAAACAACUUAAAUUACAUGGGACAUCAACAAAGUAAAGUUUUAAUAUCUGGGAAUGUGGUUUGAUGAAAAGUUAACUUGAAAAGAUCAUAUAGAGAAUAUUAUAAAGAAAUGUUGUAAAGUAAUAUACUUGAUGAGAGAGGUUGAAGGACAAGACUGGGGUGCAGACAAACAAUCAUUAAAAGGUAUGUUGGACUUCUGUGAUCAGGCUAUGGUUGUAUUGUAUAUGAAUCUGCGUCUGCAACUAUGCUAAAUAAACUAGAUGUCAUGCAAGCUAAAGCAUUAAUACUAACCCUAACCCUAAAUUCAUCAAUUCUGUCUUACAUAUGCUAUUAUAUUUCCCCCAAUCUGCUUUCUCAAAUUUCCAUCUUUGUUGUUUUGCUACUACAUUCCUUUGCAUUUCUAAUCCUAUUGUGCAGGUUACUGGAUAAUGAUUACUCCCAAUUGUUGAUUGAUCUAGUAUUUCCCAUUGACAUUUUAGUGCUUUUAUUGCUGAUACUAUUGUUAGAUCUAUACAUGACUUAGUUGAAUCUCUGAUAUUGAGCCUUAUUCCACUCCCAUAAUUUAAGGGUACCAAUAAAUUCUCCUCCAUAUAUUAUUCCACCACUAUGCCAUAUUUAUUUGUGCUUAAACUUCCCCAUGUAACACUUUGCGCAUUAAAAUUACCACACCAUAUCACCAUACCUUCUUAUUUACUCCAAAUUUUGUUUAAUUCUAUUAAGGAUAACUGUUCACAUGGAUUGUAAUAGUUUAUUAUUAUUAAUUUUCCUAACUGUGUCCAUACUUCCACCUUAGUACCUUCAUAUUGUGUAUCUAUAUUUACUUCCCUAUAAGCCACCCCAUUCUUUAGAAAUGUUUCUGUUCUCUAUAUUUACUUCCCUAUAAGCCACCCCAUUUUUUAUAAAUGUUUCUAUUCUAUCUUUUCUCAUGGAUAAGUACCCUGGAAUAACAGUUUAAUAAGUUUAAUCAUGGUUUAAGCCAUGUUUCUUGGAUACAUAUAACAUCUGGAGGAUUUGUUAAUUUAUGUACUACUGUAUUCUUUUGAACUCUUGGCAAUUCGCGAUCAGACUUCUGGCAUUCCAUUGUACUGUCCUGAAUGUCAUAUUAUUUGUUUAACCUUUGAUUGUCUGGUAAUUACUGAGAAUUUGCAUUAUUCUCAGAUUGGCCUAAGAGUGUCUGAAUUUUCUCUACUGUUAUUUCUGUUAUACCAAGCUGACGUGUUGCUGCAGAUAUGAUUAUUUUCAGUUUCUCUGUCCUUUUGUUUGUUUGUGCCUUGCAGUUAAUGACUUCUUUGAUAAAUGCAAUGAAACUCACUUUACUAACCAUGAGCAUACUUUAGUCAAUAUUCGCUUUAUCCAUAUCUGUACCCUUGUUUGAUAUCUCAUUUGUAUUGUUAUGAGAGUUCCCAUCACUUAUCUUGUUUCCUUGCUCAUUUUGAAUAUUCUUUACUGCUUGUGCAUAUGAUACAUUUUAAUCUGAUUUGUACCUCAUAACUUCCAUUGCUUGUUUUUAUGCUGUAUUUUCCUAGUAUGCAGCACUAUGUGGGCCUCCACAAUUGCAGCACUUCGGUCCAACUUGUUCUCCACUCUCCCCAUAAUCAUGUUCUCCUCCACAUUUACAGCACCUUUUCUUUCCUUUACAUACUUCUGCCACAUGUCUUAAUCUUUGGCAGUUGAAGCAUCUCAAUGCAGGUAUGUAUGGACAUACUGGAUAGCACACAUAUCCAAUUUUGACAUUUUCUUGUAGUAUUUUACCAUUCACUACUAUCAUCACUGUUGUACUCACUUCUCUUUUCCCAUUUCUAUUUGAUGUCAAUCUUUUCACAUCUGUUACCUUUUCAUUUGUUAUCUGAUUUUUUAGUACCUCAUCUGUUAACGAUUCUCCUCCUUCUCCUACGGUUUUCUCGGAAUCUGAUCCUCUGUUUUUCCGUUUUUGCGAUAUCUGAGACCACUUUUCGCUAUUCAUGUCUUCAACAUUCUCCUCUCCAUCUACAUUACUUCCUUAAUUUUCUUUAUUCACAUCACAGUCGUCGCCAGACCCACCACGGAAUUUUUCUUUCGCCAUCUUUCUCCCGCCGACAAUCCUCGAGCCAAAAAAGAAAACAGCGCGACGGUGUCCACGUUCCAAUGCGGAAGUGCCCUCCCCGGAUCAGUGCAGGCUUCGGCGAAGGCCGCAUCGAGGGCGCAAAGGGGGCGCUCGCGAGAAUCCUCAACAAUGCCACAUACUGGACAAAAAUUCUAAAGACAAGCUAUUUUUAGUUAUUUUUAAAAUAAAUGUUUUUUUUGUGAUUGAAAGUUAACUUUUUCUAACUCCUCAUCUUGUGCUGCUUAUUGUGCCGAUAAUUGGCUUGACCCCGGUAUCGCUCCUUGCAGCUAUAUUUGUAUUUAUUUGUGUUAUUUUACCAUCUGGACACUCUCCCAGACUCCAUCUACACUCACCUAAAGGAUUAUUAGGAACACCAUACUAAUACUGUGUUUGACCCCCUUUCGCCUUCAGAACUGCCUUAAUUCUACGUGGCAUUGAUUCAACAAGGUGCUGAAAGCAUUCUUUAGAAAUGUUGGCCCAUAUUGAUAGGAUAGCAUCUUGCAGUUGAUGGAGAUUUGUGGGAUGCACAUCCAGGGCACGAAGCUCCCGUUCCACCACAUCCCAAAGAUGCUCUAUUGGGUUGAGAUCUGGUGACUGUGGGGGCCAUUUUAGUACAGUGAACUCAUUGUCAUGUUCAAGAAACCAAUUUGAAAUGAUUCGAGCUUUGUGACAUGGUGCUGGAAGUAGCCAUCAGAGGAUGGGUACAUGGUGGCCAUAAAGGGAUGGACAUGGUCAGAAACAAUGCUCAGGUAGGCCGUGGCAUUUAAACGAUGCCCAAUUGGCACUAAGGGGCCUAAAGUGUGUCAAGAAAACAUCCCCCACACCAUUACACCACCACCACCAGCCUGCACAGUGGUAACAGGGCAUGAUGGAUCCAUGUUCUCAUUCUGUUUACGCCAAAUUCUGACUCUACCAUCUGAAUGUCUCCACAGAAAUCAAGACUCAUCAGACCAGGCAACAUUUUUCCAGUCUUCAACUGUCCAAUUUUGGUGAGCUCUUGCAAAUUGUAGCCUCUUUUUCCUAUUUGUAGUGGAGAUGAGUGGUACCCGGUGGAGUCUUCUGCUGUUGUAGCCCAUCCGCCUCAAGGUUGUGCGUACACACCCCUCACACAAACUCUUCACCUUCCUGCUGUCUGGCAAGAGGUACCAAAGCAUUCGGGCCAGACUGUGUAACCGCUUCUUCCCCCAAGCCAUCAGACUCCUCAAUACUCAGAGACUGAACUGACAGACACACACAAACACACACACACACACACACACACACACACACACACACACACACGUGUACACCAUCCAAAUUUUGCACAUGUCCAGAGUUGCACUUUAAUUUAUUGUCACUGUAUACCAAGCUGCUACCUCAAUAACUGCUAUGUCCAUAGAAAACUAUUUCAUAGUAUGAUAUGUUUACAUUUGGCAUUUUGUUGCACUAUUCAUUACAAAUGUGUACUGGUCGGCGCUGCACUGUCUCUUACUGUAUCCAUUGUCCUGUUGCUUUUAGUAACUUUUUGGUAGCACUUUAGGUAGAAAUUUUAUGUAGAAAUAUUAUUUAGUCUGUGUAGUCUCAUGUGGUUCUGUGUUUGUCGUGCACCAUGGUCCUGGAGGAACUUUGUCUCAUUUCGCUGUGUACUGUACUAACUGUAUAUGGUUGAACAACAAUAAAAAACACUUGACUUGAUGUUGUUUAUAAGUGUUAGCAAAUACCAUUUAAUAGAAUUGAUCUCGUUUUAUAUUUUUUAAACCUUAGUUGGUAAAACGUGUUUAUCAAUGGGUGCUAAAAAAUAAUAACAGGGCAAUUCGCACACUUUUUCAAAGAUAAAUUAUCUCUAUGCCUUAUGUUGAGUCAUAUUGAAACUCUUUGUUACAUGGAAAAGUAAAAUGCUGGGGAAAAAAGGUGUGGUUACUUCCUCAGAAGUAUCAUAUCAGGAACAAGGUGAAAGAGGUUUCAUAUAAACUACACAGAUUCUAUCCAAGAAAUAGUUAUUUGCUGAAAUUCAAAAAAUAUAUACAUACAAACUGUGUUUUGCAAUGACCACGAAGAAACUGAUUUACAUUUAUUUUGACAAUUCGAUUACUCUAUGGCUAAAUGUAAAGAAAUUGAUUAUUUACAAUAUUCAGUGUCCAAGUCCUUUUUCACUAUUGUGGGAAUACUUUUUGGCUUCACCAAUUGUCCAAAAGAAGAAGAAUUCUGCUUUUAUUUUAUUAAUUUAAUUAUAAUACUGACAAAAUUUUACAUUCAUAAAUGCAAAUUUACUCAAAUAAAAAAAAAAACUUUGUUUUAUUAAGUGAAGUAAAACUAUACAUUGACAGUAUUAGAGACUCUCUGAAUAAAUAGGCCUUAUAAAUAGGACUUAUAAAGAUUAGUCAGUUUUAUGAAAUAUUUAUAUUUGAAUUCUAUAUGUAUUUUUGUGUUAUUUAAUACAGUAUAUCCCUACAUCCCCCUUGUACUUUUUUCCUCUCUUCUGUGCACUCCUUGUACAUUUAUUAUGUGUAAUUAUACAAAGUGUAUAAUGUUGAUGUUUAUUAAUUAUAAUAUAAUAUAGCUGCAAGCAGCAAUUAACGGGGUUCAAGCCUUUUAAGAACUUUCAAAGUAUGUAAAAAAGGAAUGUAUUUUAUAUGUAUAUGUACUUUGUAAGUUGCUGAAUUUGUUAAUUAUGACUGAUGUCUUGUGUUCAAUAAUCCUGAAACAGGAUAAUUGUUAUGGUGGUAUAAGUUUUACUUUUUAACUGUUAUAAAGCCACAAAGCACCCAAUCACCAAAAAGGUUUUAGAAAUUUGAAUAUUUAUUUUAGGAAUUAUAGGCUUUUGGAUACACUUGGUCAAACCCACAUGAUAAAUGCAACCCCUAAAUAAAUAACUAAAGUUCAACUUUUCUUUGAUAAUUAUUGAACUAGGGAGUCCUAGAUGUAGUUCACAAUAGCAGGUAACAUUGGAUAAUAUACAAUAAUUUACACACCAUUUAUACAGCUAUUUUGCUGAAAUAUGUUGGGUGCUGGCGUCCAUGUUUUUAUUUGUCUGAGUCAUAUUGUAGAAUAUGUAAGCAUUUGGCCCCUACAAGAAGCGUACCAAUUUUCAACUUCAUUGAUAAUAGAGUUGCGGAGUUAUGAGCAUUUAUUUAUGUUUUAGUGCCCCCUAUAGGCAAUUUUCUCGUGAUUUUGUAUGGAGACUCAAAAUGUGCUGUUGUACAUGUGUUUCAGUUUUCACAACAUUUGGCCUUUUCGUUUGGUAGAUAUUGGUGAAUAUGCACAAAAUGGAUGAAGCCUGACUAAUUUGUUGGCUUAUAUCUUUGCAACACUUCAACGAAUCAAAAUUCCUUUGAUAGCUUUUCGUCAAGAGGGUUCAUGUUAGACACACACCAAUUUUUGUGA